AACGCCCGCGGUAUCCUGACCGUGCAAAGGUAGCAUAAUCAUUUGCCUAUUAAUUGUAGGCUAGCAUGAAAGGACAAACGAGAAUAUCCCUGUCUCCUUUAAGCCAGUAAAAAUUUAUCUUUAAGUGAAGAAGCUUAAAUAAUUAUGCAGGACAAGAAGACCCUAUAGAGCUUUACCUAAACAUUACAUUAUAAGUAAUUAAGGGUUCGGUUGGGGCGACCUGGGGACAUAAAUCACCCCUUAAAAUUUAGACAAACACGUCAUUAAAAAGAUCCUAAACUAAGAUCAACGAAUCAAGCUACCUUAGGGAUAACAGGCUAAUCCUCUUAGAGAGCCCUUAUCGACAAGAGGGGUUGGCACCUCGAUGUUGGCUUA
rnacentral:rRNA from 1 species